UCCUAUAGAAUUCGGAGGGGGUUUUGGGAAUUUUUGGGAGAGGAUUCUUGUCGGUUUUCGACCCCUUUGGAUUCGAGGCCGAAGUUUUUUCAUGAGCGGUAGGGUUUGGCGGAACGACAGUGAUCGGUGUUACUAGUAUGGGAGAACCUUGUUCGGAGUCUUGGAAAGCCAUUUUUGACGGUUUGCAGAGGGGCAGAGAGUUCAAAGGCGCUCGAAU
rnacentral:lncRNA from 1 species